rnacentral:rRNA from 1 species
UACGAAGGGGGCUAGCGUUGCUCGGAAUCACUGGGCGUAAAGCGCACGUAGGCGGGUUGUUAAGUCGGGGGUGAAAUCCUGGAGCUCAACUCCAGAACUGCCUUCGAUACUGGCGACCUUGAGUCCGGGAGAGGUGAGUGGAACUCCGAGUGUAGAGGUGAAAUUCGUAGAUAUUCGGAAGAACACCCGUGGCUAAGGCGGCUCUCUAGUACGGUACUGACGCUGAGACGCGAAAGCGUGGGGAGCGAACAGG